CGUGUAGGCGGCUGCUUAAGUCGGACGUGAAAGCUCCUGGCUCAACUAGGAGAGGCCGUUCGAAACUAGGUAGCUCGAGGGUGGUAGAGGAGAGUGGAAUUCCCGGUGUAGUGGUGAAAUGCGUAGAUAUCGGGAGGAACACCAGUGGCGAAGGCGGCUCUCUGGGCCAUUCCUGACGCUGAGACGCGAAAGCGUAGGGGAGAGAACG
rnacentral:rRNA from 1 species